UACGUAGGGGGCUAGCGUUGUCCGGAUUUAUUGGGCGUAAAGAGCGCGUAGGCGGCCGAGUAAGUCCGACGUGAAAUCUGGAGGCUCAACCUCCAGCGGUCGUUGGAAACUACUCGGCUAGAGUCCGGAAGAGGAGAGUGGAAUUCCUGGUGUAGCGGUGAAAUGCGCAGAUAUCAGGAAGAACACCGAUGGCGAAGGCAGGUCUCUGGGCUGACACUGACGCUCAUGCACGAAAGCGUGGGGAGCAAACAGG
rnacentral:rRNA from 1 species